CUGAUGACACCUGCCAGGAGGGAAUGCAGCACAAGCACGGGAUCAGCACAAGAGCCAAGAGGAGCCACAGCUCUGGGCAGAGGAAGGUUGAAGGAGGUGCUCCCAGUCCAGGAAAACACAACAGCGAGACGGGAAAUGAUUUCUCCUGGGGGCCACCCAGCACCCUGAGGAGCUGCUGCAGGAGCUGGGCGAGGAGGAGAGAGGCCCCCCGUGCAGGAGGUGGCCCUGGUUACCUAGAGCCGUGCUCCUCUCCUCCAGCAGCUCCACCUUCACCAGCUGGUUGGCCGGAGGGGCAUCUUCAAGCCUGUCGAUCAGGGCGUUGACCAAGUCCUCGUGGUUCCCUGGAAACACCCCCAGGUGGUCCCCGGGCAGGUACUGCAGCCCCUGGUGCCCCUCGGUGUGCAGGCGCAGGAAGAUAGUCAGGCGGCUGCAGGGAAAGGAGGGAAAGGAGGGAAAGCAGGACGUGUUUUUGGGGGAGUCGCUGAGCUCUGGCCUCGAGAACUGCUGGGCGUGCUGGGCACUGGUGGCACGGCCAAGCCGCGGUGCCCCCUGAGCGUGUCCCCAAGGUCACAGCAGGGAGAGGGGACGCUGCAUCCCCCGCCUCCCCCCCGCCCCCCGCGCCGCUGACUCACCCUCGGGGGCUUUUCAAAAAGGGAAAAAAAAACCAGUUUAACCUCUUGUUUCAGCAA